ensembl:lncRNA
UCUGAGCUGCGGCGCCGGAGCCCUCUCGGCGCACGUCGCUGUUGGCGCGGCCCCCCCGGGGCACACACCCUCCCUUACCUCGGGGUGCCGCGGGUGGGGGCCGUCCCCGGAGCGCAGCACUCGCUGCCAGUCCCCGUCCCGCUGCUAGUCCUGGUCCUGGCCCCGGGGGCCGGCCGAGCAUCCUCCGGCGGGGGCCCUGCCUGGCGCCGCGGCGAGCCGGGGCUGCCGCGGGGCGGGCGGGCGAGCGGCACCUCCAGCGCUCUGUGGCGGCGUAUCGGGCCCGGCUUUGUAUUUAACGCGGAGCUCCCCUCGGCUCCUCCCCUCCUUCUCGGAAAACACAUUGGCCUUCACUUUCGCUUUGCCGGAGCGCCGCCGCCGAGGAACGCCCCGCGGGCUCCCUGCCCCGCCGCUGGGGAUGCUCUUCAACCUGUCUUUUUCUAUCCGACCGCGUCUGAGUUUACUUUUUUUUGCUUUUUUUGCUUUUUUUUUUCGGACAGCUCCGUUGGAGCAGGCGGUGGCCGCGGGCAGGGUCGAGAGGUGCUGCGGGGGAAAUCCGAGCACGGAAGCGCUCUGAGGGCCCAGGGAGGUUGGGGGACAUUCGAGGAGGCAGAAUUAGCACACUGGAAACUGAGAAAUGAGAAGCUGAUGGCAAAGCAGUGUUUUGCAGCAUCUCAGCCAGAUCCAGGAGUUUGAACAAGCCCAUCUGGAAGCCAGCUCUGCAGACCAUUUCCAGAGCAGCAAACAAUACUGGUAAAGUAAAGACUGAUUCAUUAAUUUUUUUCUUUAAUCGUGUUAUAUUCCUAUGCCAUAGAACACUGAUUUAUUUAAUUUACACGCCAGCAUUUACAUACCAUGGAAAGAAACCAACAGGUGACACCCACUUCUGCAGAACACAACUGCAGUUCUCUAAUUAUUUCCUCUAAGUAUUCUUUGUAAAUGAAAUGAGUCAGCUAAGCAGGACAGCAUUGCCCUUUUUACAGCCUGCAGGCCCCAUGGCAGGGAUGUGUGGGGAGUGACAGGAACUGGUUAAGUCUGCAUGCCAGUGGGAGCAGUGAAAUAAUUUCUCAUGCUGAGGCUGCCUGUACAAGCUGAGGUUUCCCCUCCACUCUCUGAGGAGAUGCUGUUUUUCCUCUCCACACACUGGGUGCAGCUGGCAGCUCCUGGCAGCUCCAGGAAGUCUCUUGCCAUAAUCCACCACAGAUUCCACUGAGCACAAGCUAACAUGUGAUGCAGAGCAUCUAUAUUAGGUUCUCAAAGAAAAAGAGCACUUGCUAAUGCUUUGGUUGAUGGUAUUUGCCACAAAAUUAGGUCACCAUAUCUUAGAGUGAUUCUUCUGUCACUCCAAGUGCAGGUUUUGGUUUGAUGACACCAUGGAAGAGGCCAGGCUCUUCUUGUUGUUGUAAGUAGUGGGGUUCUGAUGUCUGUUGCUCACAUUAACCUGCCCUGUCCAAGUCACAUCUAAAAUGCCACUUAUUCAGAGCCACCUCCUAAUUAAAACCUUGGCAGGCUGCACCUAGAGUUCUCCUGUUUCAGCAUGUGCCUUUGCUGGCUCCAGGUCUUUUGAAAUUCGUGGUCAAACACAAUUUAGUAUCCAUCUGCCAGACUGCUCUGCCCCAAAGCACAAAUUACAAGCAGCUGAUGCUCAUGUUAGGGAGGUAAAUACAACUGACUUCCAACCCAUUAAUCCAUUAAUUUCAACUCAUUGAUCCAUUAAUUUCAAAUCAUUAAUUAAAUUCAGUGAUGAUGAGAUAGUCUAAAAAAAAAAAGUUGAAGGAUGUUUUUCCAGACUUCAGUCAGCAUGUCCACAUUGCAUCUUUUAUGCAAUGCAGAACAAACACCAGGAACGAUGGAAUUUUAUAUUCUUGUGUUUGUGGAGUAUUGUUCUGUGUGCAAUGUAAGAAAAAAGUCUAAAUUAGGACAGAUCUCUUAAAGGUCAAAUAUGAAUACCAGGGAAAGGAAGACAGUCUCAGAGCCCUCACUUGCAGAGUAAUUAUUGCAAAGAUUGUUUUCACAUCUUCCCUCAGUGAUGCUGAGCUCCCAUGUGCUGCUUCCUUUUUCUGCAUGAGGAUAUGAAAGGCUCAAUCAUAUCAUUUGCAGUUUACUCUGUGACUGUGGGCAGGCAUUGUUGCUGGAGAUGCCAGAAUAGAGGUGUUGGCCUGCUCCAGUCACAUCCUCUGAGUUCUGAAUCCUCUGAGUUUCUGGGCUGACCAGAGACAAAGGUUUUUUUACAGAUCUGUUUUAUGGACAUUUGUGGGCCAUUCAGACAUAACCAUUAUGAUCUAUGUAUUCUUCAGCUCCACACUUUGUGACUUCUCUUGCAGUCAGCUGUGGAGCUCCCAGCUAGAUCAAUUUCUAAAGCAAGUGCAUACAAAAUACUAAAAAUAAAACUAAAAAAGAAAAACA